GCGUUCGUAGCUCAGCUGGAUAGAGCGACGGACUUCGAAUCCGUAGGUCGGGGGUUCGACUCCCUCCGGACGCA
rfam:Spirochaetes bacterium RIFOXYC1_FTLL_54_7 rifoxyc1_full_scaffold_4532, whole genome shotgun sequence.